rnacentral:lncRNA from 1 species
GGCUUUCUCAUACCAUUUAGGAGAUAAUGUUCUUUGAGGUGUCUUUUGCACAUGUGGAUGUGGUGUUGCCCUCUGCUUUUUUCCAGAGAAAAAAGAUAGUGGUGUGCCCUCUCCUGCAACCUUGCCUGCAUCCAGUUUUAACAGCAGAGUUUGAGCCUUGGGAUGUGUCAGGUGGAUGCAUCCAGAUUCUCAGGCCAAAGAGGGGAAAUAGGCAAGAACUCAAGAGCCAGAUCUUCCUUCCCCAGGUCUUCCCCACCAGGAACUGGCAUGAGAAAACUUGAGAGACCCUUCUUUGCCUAUUCAACAUUUUAAUGAGCAAUGGAUGAACAAGAUCUUCUGGCCUGAGCCCUAGAAGUGCACUACUGUCUAUAAAAUAUGUGUUGUUAAGAGCCACUGCGGAGUCAAAUGGAGCAUUAUGUAAUUCUUUGGCAAAUGGGCUCUCUGUGUAAGUACUUGGAAGUUAUAAGUUUGUUAACUUUGUCUUCCCAAGCUGUAAAAGGGUCCCAUAAUAGCAAUUUCUCUUGGCUUGCCAGGCACAGAAAUUAACUCUAGAAAACUAUGUAACAGAAGAUUAAAAAUAAAGCAG